GGGGGGGGGGGGGUUUCUCGGGCUUCUUCAAUCAUUGAAACCCUAUCUCGCUGUCUCAAACUCAUUCGCGACCCCCUCAUAAACCACCGCACUACCCACCUCUCCGACCUCAUCUUCGACUCCGUUCACUUCGAUUCAGUGAGUGAGCUUUAAGAGAUCGAUUCAUCAGACUCUCCACUAUCUCUAUUACUGAAGCCGAAACGAAGAGAAACUACUUCUUGGGCUAUGGAGUCUUACGUUGAGGGACGAUUCCGAUUUGGCUGGAAGAACAGCAGUGGAUCCAAGCUGGCAUGAAUUGGUUUGCUUCUUGCUGCCUUUUAUUCAAGUAUAAUCAAUGGGUCUUAUAUACAAAGAGAAUAGAAAAGCAAUUGAAGAUGUUGCCAAGAGAAAUGACAUGGGUUCUGCUAGGUGUUCUCUUUUUCCCCCAGAACUUUUUGUUCUGAGCUUAGGUUUUCUACUUACAAUUUUCCAAUUUUAUGCUUUGUUUUCCCUUAUUGGUUUCGAAUGAGACUGCAUUAUAAUGUUCAUAUUAUACUUCAUAGUAAUGUAUUUUUUGGUUAAAUUUAACCAAAUUGAAAUAGGUAGUAAAUGUCGAGCUAUCAUGAUAUUGUAAAUUUCAUAGGAGAUAGGAAGUUACCUAAAUAAAGGCAAUUUAUUUUCCUAUACUUCAUGAAAGUUUAGUAUCAUUAUCUACUUAGAACAUAUUUUAAUCAUGGGCGGUCAUAACAAAAGGAUGUGGUUGGGCACCAAGGUUCUGGAUACACUUGAAGCCAUUAAAUGUUUAAGAUAGUGAGCUAAAGGGGGCUCUCCAGCUUGAUUUUGAUCCUUGCCAUGUGGUUUUGUUUGGUACUGUAUUUUAUUUAACAGAAUACUCUUAUUUUAUUUAUGUCUUUUGUGUAAAUUAUUUCAAUCACUUGAUCUAGAAAUUGUGAGAUCACGAAAGACAAUGAAUCUCUUUCGAACAUGUCAUCUCUGACUAUGGUACUAUUUUUCAAGUUGUUUAAUUUCCAAUUUGAGGGAGUCUUCCUGAGUUGUUGAAGCUAAAUUGUUAUGUCUAUGCAAAAGGGUCUAGAUUUUUCAUUUUUAAAUUUUUUGAUUCACUUGCUGAUGAUUGUAUUCUGGAACUAGGUAAUCUGUCUUCCUUACUAUAUCAAAACCCUUCUUGAUGUUAAUUCUUCCCUCUACAGAACACAAAAAGGUAGACACAGCUUAAUAUAAUAUAAUGUUUCCUUUCUAUAUUUGUUAUUGUGACACCAAUUGAAAUUGCCCGAACACAACACGCUUCAAUUAAGCAUAUUUAACAGCAUCACCAACUCCAUUGUAUGCUUUAUGUUUCUUUUCCAAUGAUCUGGACAUUGGCUCUUGUCAUUUUGCCAUUUAAUUCCCAUUUCAAAAUGAAGCUGCAGCAUGCUAUAGUUUAUAGAGUAGGGCUUAAUUAUAUAUGAAGUUUUGUCUUCAUGUGUCUUGAUCACUUUCCACCGCCAAAACUUGUCAACAAAAGACAUGACCACAAGGAGAUGACUUUGUUGCUGCAAGUUUGGAACACCACCACUUGGUCUGCUUGCUUUAUUCCACCGCUUGUCCUUUUUUUUUUUUUUAAAAGCUUAUCCACCAUGGAAGUAGUAAGACAACUGAGUUAUAUAAUAAGUACUACAUCAGUUCUCUUACAUAACAUGGAAGUGGUUGGAUUGUUGAUGGUAUGCUGCAGUUUCUACCUCACUUGCAUCUAUAAAUAUGUAUUUGCUUGAGACUUUGAGGGGAGAUUUUUGAUAACAUGCCUUGAUAGGGAUCAUGGCUUCUUCUACUAGGUGGUUGAUGCAUGCAGAUGCAAGAGAUUGCAAGAGAACGUGGAAAUUACCUUCAUGGCUGAGGCCGUACAUCUCUU